rnacentral:rRNA from 1 species
UACGGAGGAGGCAAGCGUUAUCCGGAAUUAUUGGGCGUAAAGCGUCCGCAGGUGGCGAUUCAAGUCUGCGGUCAAAGACUGGGGCUUAACCCUGGAAAGGCCGUGGAAACUGAAUGGCUAGAGUGCAGUAGGGGUAGAGGGAAUUCCCGGUGUAGCGGUGAAAUGCGUAGAGCUCGGGAAGAACAUCGGUGGCGAAAGCGCUCUGCUGGACUGCAACUGACACUCAGGGACGAAAGCUAGGGGAGCGAAUGGG